CUCUUUCCUUUCAUCUUCCUCCUAACUUCUUCAUCUUCUCCAUCUUCCUCAUAACAACUUCUUCAUCUUCAUUCAAGAAUUUCACCAUUAACAACCUUACAAAGUUUCAAGCGACCAUUGGUCUUUGUUCAUCAUUGCCCAACACAUAGGACGUGUUUAUAUUUUGGAUUCAACAAAGAUAAAAGGCGAAAAGAAUGCUUCUAACUAUCGUCUUUCAAGCCUAAUUCCUACCGCCUUAGGAUCCAAGUUCAACUACACAAUGGUUGAUUGUAAGCAACAAAAGGGUGGAUGAGAAUGCGGCUACAUGGUUCUCCAACAUAUGUUUGACUUUGUCAAUUUGUAUCAAAACCAAUUUCCCGAUGAAAUGUGGCACGACACGAGAGUGGCUACGGAUAAUGAAAUAGAUGUUUUGUUGAUGACGUUGAUGCCGAAGUUUUUUAGCGAGUUAGGUAUUCCGUUAGUUUAGCUUAUGUGUAGUUUGUUAUGUGUUCACAAAUGAUUGUAUUUUGACGGGUUUAUUUCCGAAUUGGAUGUGGGGUUUAUUUUGGAUUUGAAUGUGC